rnacentral:rRNA from 1 species
AGGUGUCGGUCGGAGCUGGUGAUGACGAGAGUGGAGCGCAGAGCACGUGUGCGGGGAGAGAACUCCGAUGGUGAACAUCUCGUGAGCUUCUCGACUCGCUCGUCCGCGAGACCGAGACGGCGGGCCUCUGAAGUUUGGGUAGUGAAGAAGGAGCGUAGGGAGCGUGGGGUGAAGGGUGAAGGGUUCGUGCUUUUAUGAUCAUGAUUAAGCUCUCGGUCACUCAGAUCCCAGGUCUGGGCCGACCCCUACUGCUCGGGAGCGGCCGCUACCUGAACGGCGAUCGGGAGCGUCGCGAUGAGGAGUAGGAGGAGCACGAGGAGCGGCGGGGCGGCCGCCGCGAGGAGUAACGGGAGGUGGACUUGGCGGCGGUGGCGGAGGCCUCCGGGGCCGAUUGCGGCGGGCUCGGCCGCCGGCGCCGCGAGCUCGGCUCGCGCGGCCGGCUCCUCCUGCUCCCGCCUCUCCUGUUCUCCGCCGCCGCCUCCCGCUCCGCCUUCGUCGUCGGCUUCGUCCCGCCGCUGCCCCGGCGGAGCGUCCGCCGCCCGCCGCAAUCGGUGCUGCGCGACGGCGGCGCCGGGGCCAAGGGCGAGCGAAGCCACCGGCCGCGCGACGUCGCCGCCUAGUGGCGCGCCAUGCUGCUCGAGCGCGCCCGGUCGGUCCAGGUCAGGGAGUGGUAACUGGUCCAGGUACUCAAAGAAUCGUGAGAACAUCUACGCUCCCUGCUUGAUGAUGUUUUCAGACUCUUGUGGGCUUCUUCGUAGUGUUAUUCCUUCCGGUACAAUAGAUUGUCAGCAUUACCAUCCAGAAGUGUACUGGUGGAAGCGGAUACAGUUGUCCACCUAUUCAACCUUAAACUUAUACUUUCUGAUUUCUUUCUACGGUCGUAAAUGGUAUUAGAGGUACUCGUCGAAGUCGACAGUAGCACGAUGUUUGACUACCUCCUCUCGUUGCUACUUCGCCUCUUCUCUUAGGCACUUCCUCGGAAGCGGUUUCCCCACGCGCUAUGGCGGAAGCUCCUUGACGACCGGCACCUCUUCUUCCUGUUGCGAAAGACCGCAGCACUGCCCUUCGACUCCAGCUAGAGCCUGUCGUACAUCCGUCGCUCUCUCGUCUGUUCCGCUAACGUAACUAACAGUAGCAGCAGCAGCCAGAUUCUGAGGUCCUUGGUCUUUGACUUAAACAGGGAACCUCUUGAACAGACACAACUUUGGUACCUGUCACGCACAACUUUGGUACCUGUCACGCUAGCACGAGCAGCUCGAGAGCCCGGAGGGGGGACGCGGAACUUGAGAACUCAGUACCGAAAAUUAUUCUAGACUUGACCCGUCUAGGCUUACUUUUACACAACAGGAACCCACCACUGACCACUUACGCAGAGCUACGCUACGACACGGACAACGACGACGACGACGCGAGACCUAGCGACCGCGUUAAAUGACGACAAACAAAGAGGUCGAUUGUGGCCGGAAAGAACAGGGGGAGGACGACUCAAACGCUAGAUCUCCACACUCACGGCGUUAAUGAAGGGUAGAGGGAAGUCACUAAAGUCUCUCAACGGAAAAGUAAAGGUUGUGCAUCUCGGUAGCAUUAAGUGUUCACGUUACCGGUGCGUUCUCGUCGGCAGCGGCCCGCGGCCGCGGCGGGCCGGAGCCUCCGGGGCGCAGGACCAGCGGCGGAGGCCGUCGCACCGCCGCUAGUUCAAGCUCUAGGAGACGGCCUCGGAGCGGCUCACCCGGCUGCAGGCCCGCCACCGCUGCCGGAGCAGGGACGUGAAGUAGCUGUCCCUCAGGAAGGGCUCGCCGCAGCGGGAGGAGUGGCUGCGGCUGCUCACCAGGUGGACCGCCUCCUAGCCGCUGCUCCAGGACGUGUAGCUCGACGCGUUCACCCGGCUGCGGUACGAGUAGCGCGGCGAGAGCCGGUUGUGGGACCGGUUCUAGCGGCCGCCCGACACGCUGUUGGAGGACUGCACGCACCACGCGCGCACCCUGAUGUCGUUCGGGUAGAUGCAGCGCGCCCGGUACUUGUGGAAGUACACCCUGUUGGGGAAGUGAUCCGCUGUGGAACUGCAGCAGCGGCCGGAGCCGCAGAGGGAGUAGGGAGGCCACUGGUUCGCCGAGCGGACGCCCCUGAUGCCGUUGCCGCGGUACCGUCUCGGGCGGCUCUAGACGUCCUGGGAGUCCGAGAAGAAGCCGAGUGUUCAAGGUGAGACUUGUGAGACGUCGAGCGGGUUCAAGAAGUCAUAGAGAGUGAGACAAACGGACGACAUGCUCUAUGUAGAUAGACGUUUUCGAAAGAGAAGA